GAGCUGAGCUCUUGGGGUCCUCUCACCAUGGCUUGGCCUCUUGUUUGCCUCCUGCUGCUCACCUUCUGCUCAGGCUCCCUCUCCCAGCGUGUGGUAACUCAGCCUUCCUCUGUCUCUGCAUCCCCGGGGAGCACAGCCAGACUCUCCUGCACCUUGAGUGGUAGCUACAGUGCUAAUGAUGUUUAUUGGCACCAGCAGAGCCCAGGGAAGGCCCCUCGGUAUCUCCUGUAUGUCACCAGCAGUGGAAGUAUAGGAAAGGCUGAUGGGCUCCCUGAGCGCUUCUCAGGCUCUGGCUCUGGGGUCAAUAGAGUCCUGUCCAUCAGCAACGUCCAGCCUGAGGAUGAAGCCGAUUAUUACUGUCAGUCAUAUUACUACCCUAGUGGUGGUUUUGCUAAUACACAGUGA